UACGAAGGGUGCGAAGCGUUACUCGGAAUUACUGGGCGUAAAGGGCGCGCAGGCGGCUGCUCAAGUCAGGCGUGAAAGGCCUGGGCUCAACCCGGGAAUUGCGUUUGAGACUGGGCUGGCUUGAGUGCGGGAGAGGAUGGUGGAAUUCCCAGUGUAGAGGUGAAAUUCGUAGAUAUUGGGAAGAACACCGGUGGCGAAGGCGGCCAUCUGGACCGCAACUGACGCUGAGGCGCGAAAGCGUGGGGAGCAAACAGG
rnacentral:rRNA from 1 species